UACGUAGGGUGCGAGCGUUGUCCGGAAUUAUUGGGCGUAAAGAGCUCGUAGGCGGCUUGUCGCGUCGGAUGUGAAAGCCCGGGGCUUAACUCCGGGUCUGCAUUCGAUACGGGCAGGCUAGAGUGUGGUAGGGGAGAUCGAAUUCCUGGUGUAGCGGUGAAAUGCGCAGAUAUCAGGAGGAACACCGGUGGCGAAGGCGGAUCUCUGGGCCAUUACUGACGCUGAGGAGCGAAAGCGUGGGGAGCGAACAGG
rnacentral:rRNA from 1 species